rnacentral:rRNA from 1 species
UACGUAGGGGGCAAGCGUUGUCCGGAAUCAUUGGGCGUAAAGAGCGUGUAGGCGGCCCGAUAAGUCCGCUGUGAAAGUCCAGGGCUCAACCCUGGGGUGCCGGUGGAUACUGUCGGGCUCGAGUCCGGAAGAGGAGUGUGGAAUUCCUGGUGUAGCGGUGAAAUGCGCAGAUAUCAGGAGGAACACCAAUGGCGAAGGCAGCACUCUGGGACGUGACUGACGCUGAGACGCGAAAGCGUGGGGAGCAAACAGG